rnacentral:tRNA from 1 species
GCGACCAUGCCUGAGUGGUUAAGGGGACUGAUUAGAAAUCAGUUGAGUUUACUCGCAUAGGUUCGAAUCCUGUUGGUCGCG